rnacentral:tRNA from 1 species
GGGCCUAUAGCUCAGGUGGAUAGAGCACCGGUUUCCUAAACCGGGUGGGCUGGUUCGAGUCCAGCUAGGCCCA